CCCUACGGGAGGCAGCAGUAGGGAAUCUUCGGCAAUGGGGGCAACCCUGACCGAGCAACGCCGCGUGAGUGAAGAAGGUUUUCGGAUCGUAAAACUCUGUUGUUAGAGAAGAACGUGUGUGAGAGUGGAAAGUUCACACAGUGACGGUAACUUACCAGAAAGGGACGGCUAACUACGUGCCAGCAGCCGCGGUAAUACGUAGGUCCCGAGCGUUAUCCGGAUUUAUUGGGCGUAAAGCGAGCGCAGGCGGUGUGUUAAGACUGAUGUUAAAG
rnacentral:rRNA from 1 species